CACGUAGGCACCAAGCGUUGUCCGGAUUUAUUGGGCGUAAAGAGCUCGUAGGCGGUUGAGUAAGUCGGGUGUGAAAACUCUGGGCUUAACCCAGAGCCGCCACCCGAUACUGCUCUGACUUGAGUUCGGUAGGGGAGCAGGGAAUUCCUAGUGUAGCGGCGAAAUGCGCAGAUAUUAGGAGGAACACCGGUGGCGAAGGCGCUGCUCUGGGCCGAUACUGACGCUGAGGAGCGAAAGCGUGGGUAGCAAACAGG
rnacentral:rRNA from 1 species